CAAGUCCAAUUAUAAAUCCACUAACUCUCAUUAAAUAAACCCCAUCCAUCAUUCAAUCCCAAGUAAACCAGCAAGAAAUCCGCAACUAUCUAUGGAAACCUUGUAUCUCUACCUUCCACUUUUCCUAGCAUUAUACAUCUUCACCAAGCACUUCCUCAACAAAAUCCGAAACCUUCCACCUAGUCCCAUCCUUAAUCUCCCCGUCCUCGGCCACCUCCUCCUCAUCAAGAAGCCUCUUCACCGAGGCCUAGCCAAGAUUUCCGACCGUCAUGGCCCGGUCCUCCUCCUGGAAUUCGGCUCACGCCCAGUCCUCCUUGUCUCCUCCGCUUCUGCAGCCGAAGAAUGCCUCAACAAGCACGACAUCGUUUUCGCCAACCGCCCGCGUCUGCUGGCUGGAAAACAUCUGGGAUACAAUUAUACCUCAAUGGCAUGGACGUCCUACGGGGAUCACUGGAGAAAUCUACGGCGGAUAGCUUCACUGGAGAUCUUGUCUUCCCACAGGCUUCAAACGCUUCACGGGAUACGUGUUGAUGAAGUAAAAUUGAUGCUGAAAAGGCUGUUUUCAGCUUCAGAAAACAAGAAAAGCGUGGAUAUGAGGGCCCUUUUCUUUGAGCUGAUGUUGAACGUGAUGAUGAGGAUGAUUGCUGGGAAGAGGUAUUAUGGGGAGAAUGUUGGGGAAGUUGAGGAGGCUAGGAGGUUUAGGGAGAUUGUAGAGGAGACGAUGAUAAUUGGUGGAGCUUCGAAUAUGGGAGAUUUCUGGCCGGUUUUGAGGUGGUUAAAAGUGGGAAAGAAGGAGAAGGCCUUGAGGGUUUUGCAGGAGAAUAGGGAUCAAUUCGUGCAGGAGUUGAUCAAGGGGUUUAGGAGUGCAAAAGAUGCAGAAAAUGGUGGCGGCGAUGCAGAGGAAACAGGGGAAAAGAAGAAAACGUUGAUUGAAGUUUUGUUGACCCUGCAACAGAAGGAGCCUGAGUAUUACAAGGAUGAAAUCAUUAGAAGCCUUAUGCUGGUAUGGUUACUCUGAUAAAUUUCUUUCUGGCUCUUCUUCUUCUUAUUAAUGUAGCUAAUUUGUUAUCAUUUCUAUGUUCCCUAGAAAAUGUCAAACUUCGAUUAAGGACAAAUUAAUAGAAAUUGAAAGUAAUUCGAAGAUUAAGUGACUAAAUCUAGAUGGCCAAAAUUUGCUUUCUUUGAGUAUAAAAUAUAAGCUUACUUCAGUUGUCGUACAGUAAUUCGAUUGCUUCCAUUAUUGUGCAAAGUUAUGAUGAAUAAGAAAAAUUCACUGGUACAGUUCAAGAAUAGAGUUGACCGCACGGUGUGAACAGGAGUAGAUCCCAACGUAUUGGGCGGGGGGCCCACUUUUCUUCGGUGUUGGCAUUUGACAGUGAAGCAGAAAGAAAGUAUGAUGUCUAGCCAACCGAUGUCUAAAGUUGGUUGACUAGAUUUUAGAAGCAAAUGUCACUGAUCAUGCUCUUCAUUCUACCGUUUACCACUUUCUUCUUCUUUUCUCAAGUGCAUUUCACCAUUGACCGCUUUCGUAUUGCAGGUUUUACUAGCAGCAGGUACCGAUACAUCAGUGGGAACAAUGGAGUGGGCAUUGUCACUAAUGCUAAACAAUCCAUCAACUUUGGAGAAGGCAAAAGCAGAAAUUGACAGAAUCAUAGGAAAAGAACGUUUAUUAGAUGAAUCAGAUGUGGCUAAUCUACCCUAUCUCCGGUGCAUAAUUAGUGAAACAUUGAGGAUGUUUCCAGCAGGGCCUAUAAUGCUACCCCACGAAUCCUCCGAGGAAUGUGUGGUUGGGGGUUACCGUGUGCCUGGGGGGACAAUGUUGAUUGUCAAUUUGUGGGCUAUCCAAAAUGAUUCCAAGAAUUGGGAGGAUCCAAGAAAAUUCAAGCCUGAAAGAUUUGAAGGGCUUGAAGGGACCAGAGAUGGCUACAAAUUAAUGCCAUUUGGUUCUGGUAGAAGAGGUUGUCCUGGGGAGGGAUUGGCCAUGCGCAUGGUUGGAUUUGCUUUGGGAUCAAUUAUUCAGUGCUUUGAUUGGAGCAGAAUCAGUGAGGAGAUGGUAGAUUUGGCUGAGGGGCCUGGACUGACUCUGCCUAAGGCUCAACACUUAGUCGCCAAUUGUCGAGCACGACCUGGAAUCAUGAGCCUUCUUUCUCAAAUUUAGACUGCGACGAGGAUGUAUCUUGACUCUUGAGAAAGGGUGGGCAGUAUUUGCCUCGUCUCUUCUUCUUGUUUGAAGAAAAAAUAUGUACUAGUAAAAAAAAAAAAGUCUUGUUUUAUAUAUUUCACUUGUUUCUUUAAGGGAAAAAAUGACGGAGUAAUUUACUUUAUAGUAGUUGCUAUUUGAUGACGCUAAUUUUUGAAUUUCCUUGUUUUAAGUUGGAAUUUUCACAGCACAAUAAUUAUACCUUGCAACUCCUAACUGAAAACAACUCAAACCAUAUAUUUAUUCAUUCUCCUAAUGUCCACACUAAGCAAUAUCUUAGUUGGCAACUUCUUGAUCCGAAAGUUUUCUUUAGUGUUGAUAAUCAAUGAGAGAUAAAAAAAAAUGAGUAUCUAAAAAUAUAAAGGUCUAUCUAUUUGGACAACCGUUCUUAAGACAUAUUUCAGAUAAAAAAAUACAAGAUUAAUUAGAAUAAAUAAAUAUAAAGAGGGGCAGGAAAGAUUAAAUAGACAAACAUAUAUAAGUACAAGGAAGGAUAAUAAUUGUAGUAAAUGUGUGUGUAUAUAUAUAUAUAUAAUAAAUUAGAUAAAUUUUAAAUGUAUUAACGAGUGUCUAGUAAACACCCGAAAAAAUCCAAAAUAUGACGAUUUUUUUCCGUAAGAAAACUCGAAUAUGAGACGUCUCAGUUGCACUUCGUCCCUAGAAACGCCCAACCAAUAUCCCUUCCCUUCUAAAGGCCGCUGCCGCUAGUGCUGAUGACCAGGGCAUGGUCGAUAUGAAAUCAGCCUUCUUCGAACUCACACUGAACAUUAUGAUUAGGAUGAUUGCUGGAAAACGGUAUUCUGGUGAUGGCUCAGGAAAAAUAGGGGGAGUCGCGAGCUUUCAAGAGAUGGUUAAAGAGAGUGUUAAAGUCAGCGGAUCAACAAAUGCUGCAGAUUUUGUUCCGCUACUGAGGUGGAUAGGGCAAAAUAAGCUUGAAAGUCAUCUGAAAACGUUGCAGAUGAAGAGGGAAAAGUUCCUACAAGAUUUGAUUGAAAAGCACGGAAGCAUCACCAGUCAUCGUGAGAACAAGACACUGAUUGAUGUUCUCUUAUCUCACCCAGAGACAGAACCAGAGUACCAUACGGAUCAAAUCAUCAGAGGCUUGGUUCAGGUGAGUCAAGUUUUAAGGAGAAUAGUAGAUCGGUCCCUCGAAAGUGCCAACAUUCCAUAAAAUCAAGUAUAUUAACAACCUAAGAGAAUCCACCUCAAGCGCUAGCUAGCUGUCAUACUUGAAGGGUAGGAUCAUAAGUUCAUAGCAUUAACUUCCCUGCUUUUUCAGCUUUUAACAAUCAGUCAAGAUAACUCAAAAGCAUGUAUCAUGUGUUAUCCGGUAUUGAUAGAGAUAAUAAAUCAAAUUUCGUCUAAUCUUAAUAGCUGAUAAUGUUAUCGGCGGGAAGUGACGCAACAUCUGGAACUAUGGAAUGGGCACUGUCAGUUCUGCGGAACAACCCAGAGGCUUUAAAGAAAGCACAAGAAGAAAUAGACUUUCAAAUAGGCCAAUCAAGGCUGAUAACUGACUCCGACCUUGGCCAGCUUCCUUACCUUCAAGCAAUAAUAAACGAAACCUUUCGUAUGUAUCCUGUGUCCCCUUUUAUCUCCCUGCAUGAAUCAUCCGAAGAAUGUACAGUUGAAGGCUUUGGUAUCCCUCGUGGGACAUUGCUCCUAGUGAACCUUUGGGCUAUUAAUUAUGAUCCUGAAAUAUGGGAAGAACCCACAAAAUUCAAACCUGAAAGGUUCAUGAACUUGGAAGAUCAGAGAUAGAGAUUCGAGUUUAUGCCAUUCGGGCUUGGCCGAAGAGGAUGUCCUGGAGAAAAUUUUGCUCGACGAGUUGUGGGGUUGGCAUUGGGUUCACUUAUUCAAUGCUUUGAGUGGGAAAGACCUGGGGAAGAAUUGGUGGACAUGAGUGAAGGAGCUGGGCAUACUAUGCCUAGAGCUCAACCGCUGCUGGCAAAGUAUAGGCCACCCCCUGAAAUGGUUAAGCUUCUUUGAGUUGUGAUCUGAGUGUUUGACAAUGUUUUCUUCCUACAACACCUAGACGACUGUGGAGAAACAAGUGAACAAGAAAACAGAGGAUGUCUCUCUGUACGUGUUUGUUUUAACUUUUAAUACUACUAUUUUAUCUCUUUCAACUUCGCUUUGUGUUGCUGCAAGAAAGUAUAAAAAAGCAAAGGGUUUACUCUAGUUUCUUGCUUUCUCCAAAGAUCCAGCAUUUUCAUGUGUGUUUCUAUUAUUUGUUAACCAAUGGUUCAGAAUUCAAUCGACGGAGAAGCAAAAUUUUGCCAAGCAUGAGAAAUUCCCAAAAUUCUGAUCAAAUUUAAAUUAUUUGUAAGAUGCUUUUGGUUGCAUGUUGUACUUUAGAGGGUCCUCACGUUCUGUAAUUUAGAGCUUUCUUGCAUUCUAUAACUGCGAGGUAAGGUAAGCAAAAUUUAAAUUGCCCCCAGGGCAUAUGGCGUAGCGGUUGAGGGGUCGGUCUUGAGUUGUUGACUUCUUCACUGAUUGGGGUUCGAUUUGUACCCGCUACGCUGCACAUCCUGACUCACCCGGGAAAACUGUAUGGAGCUAUCGGCUUCCCUCCAAUUUGGUAUGCCGGCUCGGGUCCAAAGGGUUCGGAUCGGGGCAUGUUCCGAAUUACCAAAAAAAAACUUAAAUUUUGAUCAAGUUUAUCUGCUUUGGAAAAACCCCAUUCAACAGGAGGUUGCCCACUGCAAAAAAGCACCCCUAUUGUACAAUUUUUCAAACAUCAUCAAAAUCUUGUUUUUGAGGUUUCAAAGCCGCUAAAUUGAACAUUAGCUCUGAAUCGGAUAAUUAUGUUCAAUGGUGAUGUUUUGCUGAUAAUUACUCUUUAGUUAGUCCAGUGCGCAUGUACGCAUAGUCCAUUCGAUGCCCGUGGGAAACAGGUGUUACAAGGUCCAUGCAUUUUUCAACCAAAGAUAAGUCAAAGAGCGAAUUGCGCGAAAUGUCACUAAACUAUUUCAAAGUGCCGGUUCUGAUCAUUAAACUUUUUUAUUAGCGCGAAAUGUCACUGAACUAGUAAAUCUAUACCGUUUUGGUCACUCCGUGUAUUUGUGCCGUUAGGAGAGACGGAAAUUAACUUUUUGAGGGGUAAUUUCGUCUACACAAUAGUUAAAAAAUUUAUGCCUUCAUUCUUCUUCACCCACAACCAUAGUGCUAUACCAUAUUUACAUUCCCAGCCUUCCCGUACGCAUCAAUCAUCACAGAAUAGGUAACCUCAUCCGGUUCACACCCAAAAGACGGCAUUUUUUCGAACCACUGGACGGCUUUCUCAGGUAAAGAAGACAGCCUGGCGCAGCUAAUUAUGGUGGAAAGGAGGAGUAUUGGACCAGCAAUCAAAGAAUCAAGAGAUGAAUUCGCUGAAGAAGGGUUCUUUUCGUCCUCUGGGGCUGCUGCUUGGCCUUGUACCUGUCCCAUAUCUCAUCGAGAUUGGAUGCUACGGAGAUGAAGUAAGAGGAAAAGGCAACAGCAGCAACCAAAAAAUUGGGAUGGACGAGAAUUUUGAAGUUGGAGUUGGGGUUGGGUGCUAUCUGCAACCCAUGUAAAGUUGUGGAGUGAUUUGCGAUUAAUCUGUUAAAUGUUAUUGUGCCAACUGCCAACAGAAUUGGAAUGGACAUCAAAGUCCAGUGUAGGCCGACGACGGACGGAGCUCUCUAUGCCCACCCACUUCUGCAACAAAACCACCGAACUUUACAUUUAAUUUCUCAUUCUUUUCACUCUUUCCGCAUCGUCAUUUUCGCCACUCCCAACCCCAGAGGUAUGUAAAGGUGACAUUAUCGGGCUUAACUCCUCUCUCAAUCAUAUCCGUAAACAAUUUCUCGGCUCUGUCCAAGUCUCUACAUUUUCUAAACACCUUGAAGGUAACAUUAUACAAAAUCACUUCUUUCUUCAACUUAAGCCUUUCCAGAAAGUAACUCAGCACCAAAGGCGCAGUUUCAGAGUUGGACAUGUUAUUGAGCACAACGGCAGCAUCUUGCUCUACAACUUUGCCACCCAAAUUAGCCAAAAUACUAAUAACGUCAGCUUCUACAGGGUCACACGAGUCCAAUUGUUGGGAAGCUUGGACUAAAGAAGCAUACCUGAAAUCGUAGGAAUUGCGCCUGAGCUUUGAUGCCCUGGAGCUGUUGGGGUUGACCCAGAUAUAGCUUUUUGAGGAAGAAGAGAUGGUUUUAGCAUCUGGGCGGUGAGGAAUUUGGGAAAUUGAGGGGGAUUGUUGUUGGGAAGCCGGUAUAGAGAGGGAAGGUUUUGGAUGGGGCUUGAGAGGAGGAAAAGCGAGGGCGUUAUGGGGGAUGAUUCUGAGUUGGUGGAGGUGAGUGGGAUAAAGAGAGUUACAGAAGAGGUGUGGGUGGCGAGAGAGAUGAGACGGCGAAUAGGCGGCGGCCACCAUUCUUCUCUCUACUCUUCUUCCUUCCUUCUCAGUCGUCACUCACUCAGCAGAGCAGUCAGCAGCAUUUGAAUUUUCUUCUUUUUUACAACUAUGAAAAAUUUCGCCUGCAUUUUUUGGUUGAAGUUUGAUGGUGCCGCCAUUCAGAUCAGCCAUCUCCUUUAUGUCUUUGCCGGAUACGGAACCAUUGAUUAUGUAAAAGCUUCAAGAAAAAGGCUGUGCUGACAAAUUUGCCCCUCAAAAAGUUGAUUUCCGUCUCUCCUAACGGCACAAAUACACGGAGUGACUAAAACGGUAUAGAUUUACUAGUUCAGUGACAUUUCGCGCUAAUAAAAAAGUUUAGUGACCAGAACCGGCACUUUGAAAUAGCUUAGUGACAUUUCGCGCAAUUCGCUCUAAGUCAAAAAAAUAUUUGUCUGCGGAGCGGAACUCCAUUUUCAUAUAAAAAAAAAUGCUGAAAGUCGCCAUAUCUGUUUCAGUACUACCACUCUACCAGUUCCAUCUGACAGCUCACGACCGCAAGGGGGGGAAAAAAGACAAAUAAAAACAAGGAUCUAUGUCAAUCGCAUGUUAUAUGAAAUCUUAACACAAGAUUUAAGAUUGCAAGAUAUCAGCUGAUACAAGGUGGCCUAAGCUGAAGGCGUCUUGCUCCCUAGAAGCUAUAUCACUGAAACAGCAGGGAAUUGUUUAGAAUAUUACAUUGGAUAAGCAUUUUUUUUUUUUUUUGGUAAAUAAAGAUGCAUUAAAAAUAAAUCAAGUCAACAGAGUGCAAAUUAAGGUACAGUCAUCCGUGGGGUGGAAACCCCCUUUAAGUCUUGCAAAAGUAAGGGAAGUACAAAAUUAGGACAUAAUUCAAAAAAAGUGAAGUCUUGAGUGUUGCUUCUUCCCCAGUUGGCAAGGAUGUCUGCACAUUUGUUUGCUUCUCUAUAAUUAUGGUGAAAACAUACUUUCUGGAAUGUAGUCAAUAGCUCCCUGCAAUCAAGAAUAAUAGGUGCAAGUUCAUGAGAAAUAAGAUUAUUUGACUUACACAAGGAGAAUAUAAAGGCAGAGUCCAUCUCCACUUCGAGAGAGUGGAUGUUGAGUUUUUUUGCAAGUUGUAAGCCUUCUCUAAGAGCCCAACAUUCAGCAGAAGGAACUGAACAGAAGCCUAAAUUUCUUGCAAAGCCCGCAAUCCAUAUCCCAUUUGAGUCACGAAUAAUGCCGCCAGCUCCUGCCUGGUUUGUUGGUCCAGAGACUGAACCAUCAGUGUUGAGCUUGGCGAAACCUAUAGCAGGGGGGAUCCAUCUGAUGAAUUUUUCUUGUCUAGGGGAUCUGGAGAAGUGAGAACCAGGCCCUAGUAGGCUUCUGUUCCAGAUGCACGCCUCCGAGCAAGGAUGUAAAUGAAUCUAACCAAACUGAACACCCUAGUAUUCAAGUUUAUUUGAUUAUUUUAACAAGUUUGUAAUUUUAUUCAAAUUUAAUUUAUUUAUUUAUCGAACCAAGUUUGUUUGAUUAUUUUACCGAAUUUGAACGAGCUAUUUAUUGAAGAGUGUGUUUGGAUAGGAGAUUAUUUGAAAUAUUAUUUAGAAUAAUUACUGUAGCACUUUUUGUAAUGUAAUGUAUGUAAAAUAAAAAGAUGAUUGAGAAGAUAAAAAGAUGUGUUGGAAAUUGUAUUUGUGAUGUAAGCAAAUAAUUUCUAGCCAUUAUUUGGCUAUCCAAACACACUGAAUAUAAAACGAUAUUCAAUCUUAAUUUGACUAGUUAGCAAAUCAAACUCGAAUGAACUCAAACCAAACUGAACUCGAUUCAAAUAUCAAGUAGAUUGAUUUAUCUUUCAACAUUUCGGAGUUGUUAUCCAUGUGUUUGAGAAUGUCAUCCUCCUGUAUUGUGUUUUGGUUUUUCAAGUCCCGAACGAUGUUUUUUUGUUGCAGCAAAGGAGGAAAGUUUUAGAGAGCUUAGGAUAUUACAAUAAAAUAGCAGUCAGGAGUAGCGAAGGAGGAAACAUAUGAUUCAGCCGAAAGGGGAACGAAAAGAAGAAGAAGAAGAAGAAGAAGAAGAGGAGAAGUUAUGGUUUUAAUUUAUUUGAAGAAUUGCCAUAUAUAUAUAUAUAUAUAUAUAUAUGUAUUUUAGGUAAAAGAAGAUUAUAUACUAGUAGUAGUUUGGAAAAAUAAGGAAUGCGAUCAUAAUAAGUAAAUGCAAAAAAGUUUGCCGUAAACUCCUUUGAGUGUUUGUAGUUGUCAAAGCUCUUUGUCAGGCUGCCCCCAGUGGUUCGAAAAUGUGCUGAGGACCUCUUUUGAACUAAUUUGUUACAUGGAUGGAAACCAUACGCACACCAAAAGAUUAGAAAUUUUCAUGCUAUCCCUUGUUUCUACAUUUAAUAAUAAUAAUAAAAAAAAGUGGAUGAGGCGUUGAUCUACAAAGUUGAGGUUUUAGAAUUUGGAGAUCUUGAAUUCAAUACUUAUCAAAGUGUGAGUCUCUAAACUUUGUGUUAGUAUUUAUCCCACCAUAUGUAUGUAGAUUAGUUGUAGUUCGAAAUAUUUGUAAUCUCUUAUAUUAGUCCUAUAGUUGUAGAUUAUACACGAUAUUAUCGAAGAAAAUAUUUAAAGAAGAAAAAAAAUGCAAUCUUAGUGCCCGAUAUGUAAAAUUGGUAACCACGAAACAAAUCUUGAUGAAUCCACGAAAUUCACCAUGAUCCCAAUAUAUGGGAAGAACCCACGAAAUUUAAGCCUGAAACGUUUGGGGGAUUCGUGUUUAUGGCAUUUGGGUAUGGUCAAAGAGCAUGUCUUGGUGAAAAUUUAGCUAGACAAGUUGUGAGGUUGGCAUUGGGCUCACUCAUUCAAUGCCUUAAUUGGGAAAGAAUUGGUGGAAAUGAGCGAAGGAGCUGGGUUUACUAUGCCAAGAGUUCAACCGCUGCUGGCAAAGUACAGGCCGCGCCCAGAAAUGGCUUCUUUCUGAGUUGUGAUCCUGGUGUUUUGGGAAUGUUCUUUGCCACCUGCACCACUGGGGAAUCGACUGUACGAGGAAAACAGAGGAUUUCCCACUGUAGUGCGUGCGUACCACGUUGGCUUACCACUACUUUUUAUAUUUUACCUUCACUUGGUCCAUAAUUUUUGCAGCUCAAGGAUGUGAAAAAGUCCGUGCCGUCCUGAUUCCAUUGUAAUGUAAGCUGGUCAAAGCUACAAGCCGGUUAUAUACGACGCUACUCCAAGAAAGGAGAAAAAUAUAAGCAAAGCAAGGAGGCCGUAAAGGAUGGAUAUCAGUAGCAGAUCAUUGACAGAUAAGAUACUAAUAUUCAAGAAUGAGAGGGCCGUAUCCCUUACGUCAAAGGAGUUUUGAAUCUUGAUUACUGAUACAUUCUUGAAAUAACAAUAAUGAAUUACUAGAUAAAAUAGGCAUACGGCAUAAGUAUCAUUCCAACACUUUGGAUUUAACCUCGAUCUCUAUGGAUGCUUCAUACUGCUACCUCCUGCUUUUUCCCUUCCUGUAUUUACUUACCAAUCAAAUCAUCAAAAAGUUCCGGAAUCUCCCACCAAGUCCACCUCUUUCCUUACCCAUAAUUGGCCAUCUUCAUCUCAUCCAGAAACCACUCCACCGAGGACUAGCUAAGAUCUCCGAUAAAUAUGGUCCAAUACAGUUUCUUCAUUUUGGUUCUCGGCCUGUCCUGCUUGUAUCUUCACCCUCAGCUGCAGAAGAAUGCUUCACCAAGAAUGACAUAAUCUUCGCUAAUCGGCCAAGAUUUCUCGCCGGAAAACACCUUGGCUACAACUAUACAACUCUGGGAUGGGUCUCAUAUGGCCAACACUGGCGCAACUUGAGAAGAAUAGCUACUGUGGAGAUCUUAUCUGCUACCCGAAUUCAAGCUUACACGAGCAUCCGUGUUAACGAGGUCCAUUCAUUGAUCAAGUACCUUCUAAUGGCCUCUAAAGCUAGUGACUCUAGCACGGUUGAGAUGAAAUCGGCCUUCUUUGGGCUGACACUUAACAUCAUGAUGAGGAUGAUUGCAGGAAAGCGAUACUACGGCGAUGAUGCCCAGAACAAGGAGGAAGCCGCAAGGUUCAAAGAGAUAGUUAAAGAGACUUUUCAACUCAGUGGGGCGACAAACAUAGCAGAUUAUAUUCCAUUAUUGAAGUUUUUUGGGCAACAGAAGCUUGAAAGCAAGCUGAAGACUUUGCAGGCGAAGAGGGAUCAAUUCUUGCAAGAUUUGAUUGAAGAACACAGAAGAACCGUGAGGAGUUCCGACAGUGAGAAGGGCAACAAAACAAUGAUAGACGUUCUCUUGUCCCUCCAACAGACCGAGUCCGAAUACUACACAGAUGAGAUCGUCAAAGGUAUGAUUGUGGUAAGUAACUAUUUAAUCCUCUCGAUAUCUUAAUCCAUCCGUCUGUUAAGCAUACAGAAAUUCUGAUCUUUGUCUGGGAUCAGUCCCAUGAAGGAUUGAGUCUGAAAAUCUAAGUCAAAGCUAGUUUGAUUGCACUAGUACCAUCUCCGUGUUGCCUUGCAUUUUUUAUUGAGCUGUAAUGCUAUGUUUCCUACACGUAACAAUUCUAGGGAUAAUUUCAGAAACCUCCCCUGAGAUUUCUAACAGUUUCACUGCCCUUCUCCGAGGUUUCUAAAAUAUCAGAAACCUCCCCUACUAGGUCAUUGGGGUCCAAUUGUCACAUCAAUCAUGGAAGAAUGACUUAAUUACCCAUACAACUUAAGAGGUAUUUCCCAAUUAUGUUCACAUGAUUAGUUAAACUGUUAUUAACUAGAUUUAACAGAAAUGAUGACAAUUUAUAAGUUUUUUUAAAAAAUUUCUAACAUGCCAUUACAAAAAGGGGGCCAUAUAUAGGCACCUUUCUAUGAUUGAUAAUUGAUGUAUGCGAGUAGAAGCAAUGAUUCAAACUUUAGUGUUUUUUGUGGAAUAAGAGAAAUAGAGCUUCUUUAGGUAUAUCUAAGGAUUUAGGAGAUUUGAAAAGGAGAUUUGCUCUUAAAUUUUUUUCAAAAUUUUGGUGAUUGUGAAAAUUUCAAGAUCAGCCUCUAAGAUUUUUCUGCUAUUAAAUUUUGGAAAUUUUUAUUAUUUGAUUGCAGUUGUUAAGGUAAUUCUUGAUGGUGAUGCUUAAUAGUGACCCUACAAGUGAAAAAGAAUAGUUUGGAUCAAACAAAAAAAGGAAAAUAUGAUUUUAUGUAGUUUGUAUUAUGUUCGGUAUGAUCUGCUCCAUUUGAUGAUUGGUAUUUAAUUAUAGUGUUUUUUCUUUUUUAUCCUAAUUAUUACUUUUAUUGUCAUCGAAAUUAGGUGCUGGUUUUGUAUGAAAUAUACGUAAAGAUUGUUGGUUGUAUGCUACUAAAUUGAAAAACCUUUUAAUUAUGACAAUUUUUUUCUUGUUUGUGAUUAUUCAACAAAUGUUUUUUUUUAAAUCGAAAUGUUGGUUGUAAUAGGAUUCACAUGCUUUGUUUCUCUUGUAGGAGAUUAUGCAAUUGAUGUGUUAUAAUAGAUGUAAUAGUAUGAUAUUACACAUGCAAUAUGUAGAUAAGAUUUUGAGUUGCUAAACUUGUUGUAGAGUUAGUAAAUUGAUAUUUUGUUUACGCUCUAUGAAUACGGUAACAAUUACACCGUCUCAAAUUUGAUAAAGUUAAAAUAGAUAUAUAUUGUUCGUAGGAAAUUAACUAUCUAAUGCAAAACUUGAGGGUAGUUAUGGAAUUUGACAGGUGCCGAACUUGUGCAAUAAUAAUUACUAAAAAGUCCUAAUUACCAUCACAAUUAAUUAUAGAACGAAUUCAAGUACUGGAGCAGGACCCUAGGUGAGCAAUGGGUUACUUGAUUCACCAUGUUCCCAAAGAGUUUGCUUGAUCCGAUAUACCAGAAUUGUCUAUAAAAAUACUAAGUUUGCAUACAAUGGCAAGUAGGGUCGAUUCCACAAGGAACGGGUAGGAAGUUGUUUCCUUCCAAGUCAAUAGAAUAAAAAAGAGGGACAAUUAAUGGGAUGAAACUAAAAAUAAAAUAAAUAAAAUUCAAGAGCUAACUCAACAACAAUUUAGUAAAAAUAGCAAUUAAUAAAAUUCUACCCAAAUGAUUAACUGCUCAGGCACGGUCCAAUUAAAUGAUCAUCGAUGCAAAGAUAUUUCAUUCAUCUGUCAUUAGGUUGGUUAUAGCUAUCAACAAGCUUUGACAACCAGUUCUUCCUUACUUUUUCGACAGUCAAGGUACGACCAUUGACUGUUUCUCUAACCAGAAAACAACUCUAGGUACGACCGUAAGAAUUUAAUUAUCCAAUUGGAUUAAAACUAGAAGAACCCAACCCUGAUCAAUAAGCACGCUAAGAGGGUUUAUUUAAAUCAGAUCUUACGUUUCUCCAACAUAAAGCCAAUUAUGGUGGUUGUUACUAGUUGUCAACUAAACGAAUAAUUACGGAUUCAAUUUAAUUAACGUGGCAGUAGGCUAUUAUGUUAAAUCAAAUACCCGACCGUUGAUAUCCAAUUAAUAAAAUACUCAUGAACAAUUAAUUCAGGAAACGUACGAAUAGCAAUAAGUUGGAAGAAAUAAUGAAAAUUCGAUUAGAUGUUACAGAUAUUAUGAACCGUGCUUUCGCGUCGACCUUCGGGUAGAGGAGAAAUCUAGCCGCUCCUUAUCAUAUCCAUCUCGCGUGAUUUAAUUGAAACCAUUCAAUUAAUUCCCGAAAAAUUGGGAAAGAUGAAACAACGAGGAAAACGAAUAAAAGGGCUUAAGUAUCUCUUGGUCUCUGUGUUUGUACUGGAGCAAGAAAGUAAAAGUAAAGCACUAGAGAAAGUCGGCUGCCAAAAGACAAGAGCCAAGCCGCCCGUAAGAAAUUGUCUAAUAGGAAGAGACAAAAGCUACAACUAUGAAGGUCGCGUGAUUCUGGCUUCUUAAUUGCUGCCGAAGAGAAAAAAAGGAAAAGAAAACGUCUGACACUAAAAAGCAAAAGCUAAUCUAAUUACAAAGACGUAAAUCUGGCUUUUUUCCUCUCUUUUGUAGCGGCGCCAGGAGAAAUCCACGAAAGGUCAGGAGCAAAGCUUUUCUUUUUGGGGUUUUAAUCCCAUGCCUCUCGUGGUUCACGUGGACCCAACCUCCUAAUUGCUCACUUUUUGCUGCCACCAAGCUCGCGGGUCCGGCUUUAGAUAUAUCUCCUCACUUUCUGGCGUGGCACGUCAUGAAACAAAGAGUCUUUUGGAAAUUUUUCUCGCGCGAUCACUUUUAACACCAAUCACCUACAAUUGAUACAAAUAUGAAAUAUGAGCAAAUUCUCAAUUCUUAGCAUCAUGAGUAGCCAAAAUUAGGACAGAAUAAUAGUGCAAAAUAUGCCCAAUAAUUGCUCUAUCAGAAUUAAAUUGUUUUCUCUCUUCUAAUACCAAUUUUAUAUUAUUUUUGUAUUUGAAUUGGGCUGAUUGUUACUAGCUAAUUAGCUUUAGGGGUGGUUUCCGAUAUUUUGAAAACCUCAGUGAGAUUGUCAAAAACCUCAGGGGAGGUUUCUGAAAUUAUCCCAUAAUUCUAUCUACGUCUAAUACUAUUUAUACUAAGAGGGUUGCUCACGAUAAAUGUUCUAACAUUAUCAUACACCUCCUCUUAUCCCUUCAUUUGUAUUUCUAUCUUAUUUACAGAAUCAAGAUAAUAGUAUAAAAAAUUCAAUCCCAUUGUACUAUUGAAUCAUGACGUGCAGGAAAAAAGGAAGAAGUAAAGAUAAAACGAAUGAGUAGCACAGUAUUCACCUUUAAUCCAUGCUUUAGACUAGCAGAAAAUAAUGCAAAUUUUGUCAACAGCAAAUGUUAUCAGCGGGAACCGACACAUCAUCCGGAACAAUGGAAUGGGCACUCUCCCUGCUGCUCAACAAUCCACAAGUUCUAAAGAAAGCCCAGCAAGAAAUUGACGCGUACGCUGGCCAAUCAAGGCUUAUCAAUGACUCGGACUUGGGUCAGCUGCCUUAUCUUCAUGCAAUUAUUAGUGAAACACUUCGCAUUUGCCCGGUGGCCCCUAUUCUGGUGCCUCAUGUGUCAUCCCAAGAGUGUUGUGUUGGAGGCUACAAUAUCCCCGGUGGCACGUUGCUGUUAGUGAACUUAUGGGCAAUGCAAAAUGAUCCCAAGGUUUGGGAAGAACCCACAAAAUUUAGGCCUGAGAGGUUUAUAAGUUUGGAAGGGCAAAGAGAUGGAUUUGUGUUCAUGCCAUUUGGGUUUGGCCGAAGGGGAUGUCCUGGCGAAAAUUUGGCCAUGAGCGUUGUGGGGUUGACAUUGGGGUUGCUUAUUCAAUGUUUUGAGUGGGAAAGAGUUGGGGAAGAGUUGGUGGAUAUGACUGAAGGGGCAGGGCUUACCAUGCCAAGGGCUAAAGAAUUGAUGGCCAAGUGUAAACCACGGCAAGAAAUGGUCAAACUUCUUUCUCAAUCGUGAUUGGGAUUUCAGAAGUUGGUACCUCUAAGAAAAAAACCCAUCGCAGUGAUGACAACAUUGUGAACAAAGUGUGCUUGUUUUGCCAUUAUUUUUGUGAUUCUAUACCUUCUUGUAUGUGGAAUAAAGGAUUUGAUUAAAAGUUUAAAAUACGGUUAGAGACACCUUAUUUUAAUUUAGUACGUUUUAUUGUAGGAAUAGAUGCAUAUGCAUACCUUUUUAUUUUGAUAGGUGAAAAUAAAACAACAAAAAAAAGACUUACAAAUAUGUUAGAUCUUCAAUGUUCAUGAAUAAAACUCUCUCUCUUUUUUUUUCACUUUUACUUCCUUUUGGAAAAGAAUUAAAACUCUUCUUUUUUUUUUUUACAGUUUUUUAUUUGUUCAUGAUGUGGGAGGUCUAUGUUCAUUUGAAAUCAAGAGCUCACCCCAACUUUUGUAGAAACUAGAGGGGAAGUUAGUGUAGUUUACCAACAAGAUACGUGUCUACUUACUUGAAUAACCAGUAAUAAGAUUUAAGGAAGAAAAACUUGGGCUACUCCAGUUAGCAAUGCCCAAGUAUCAAAAAAUGAAGAGCCCAAAUUCAUGUGAAAAUGUAUACAUGUUCUUGGUUAAUUUCACAAUAAACUUGUAAUCCUUUUUUUUGGCAAUUCAAAUUAAAUUCCAUUUUGCCUUUGGAUAUAACCAAGAGUUAUGUCCCUUUUAAUGAAUCUAGUAUAUUUUGGAGGGCUUUACUACUUCAAAUUUUUUUUUAAAAAUUUUAUCAGUAGUAAUCAUGAAAAAUAAAUCAUUUUCAACUAUGUAGUACUGAAAGAAACAUGCGACAGAAAAGAGUGGCAUCUCCAUAUAUUUUCUGAGCGUCAAAAUAAAAUUAUAAACUUUCUACCACUAACUCUUUUAUCUAAACCAUGCAAUUUUGCGUGCAUCAAAAUAGCGUAAUUAUUCAGUUUUCGUGUAAGGAAAUGAAAAUCUUAGGACUUGCUAGGAAAAACAUGGCGGUCUGGCUUCAGUGAAAUAUUUUUGCUAGAAAAUGUCGACUAACUUACCUACCUUUUAAUUCUUAUACUCUUUUCGUCCCAUUGAAAGUGUUAUACUUUUAUUUUAGAAUGUCUCAAAAUAUUUGUUCUGUUAAUAAAGUCAAAAUAUAUUUUAGUCUCUCUCUUCAACAUAGUUCAUCUCUCUAAUCAUAUACACGUUACCAUUCAAAUUCAAAUGUUGAAUUUGUAGGAAUAAAAUUGAAAAGAGAAGCACAAACAUCACAAUCAAACCACUAUUUUUAAAAAGUUUGAUUUUUGAAACAGAACCAAAUAAUUAGGACGGAAGGAGUAUAAACUAAAAUGAAAAAGGAAGUCUAGUGAUAAUUGAACCGUCAAAUAUCAUAAACCUUUUCAUAAAAUUGCUGGCUGAUCAGUAUAGCAAGUAGAUGAUGAUGCUUGUGUAGUUGCUAUCAUCCUUAGGUAUGAAAUUUUUCAUGAAGACCCCUUAGUAAUAAGUUUCUGAAUAGCUUCCCACAAAAGUUUCCGGGAGGUAAAUUAACAAUCUUUUGCAUUACUUUGGCCCCGGAGACAUGACAAUAAUAUCUUAGACGAAAGAACUUAGCCCCGACAAAUAUCAUGAACUUAUUGACAAUAGGUGGCUUAAUUUGUAAGAAAUAAAAAAUUAUUUAAAAAUAAGAAAAAAAAAUUAUUUAACGAAAUGCAAGUAACAUCUUGAACGAUUUUUCCUUAUUAACUCACAAAGUUAAGUUCCACUGUGGUACUUGCCAAUGGAACAAAGUUGACAGCAAAUCUUGUUGGUUGAAUGAGUCUCCUGACACAGCGUAUUAAGCAAUAAGCAUUCAUUGGUAUACCCAAACCUAUUACUCUGUAUAAGUGUACGUAUCAUAUUCACCCGUACCGUACGUCUCUUUCUACAUUUAGACACUCCCAUAUUUCUAUAUUAAUUUCACUUUUGCUAAAGGAUUACUGGGUAAAGUGUAAAGCACGGCAAGAAAUGGUUAAACUUCUUUCUCAAUUGUGAUUUGUGGGACUGUUUAACUGUCAAAAUUAAUGUGAAAACGUAUGAGAAAGUAGAAUCCUCGAAAUCCUUUAUUUUUUCAAAAUUUAGUUUUUUAAAUACUAAAAAUUUUUAAAAAUACUCUAAAAAGUAAUCUAAAUUUUUUUAAUGUUUAAAAAAUAUUCCAAAAUAUAUUUUAAAAACUCUACUACUCUUAAAUAUUUCAAAAUAUUUUCUAAAAAUAUUUCAAAAUAUACUCUAAAAACUCUGCUACAGUAAAGUUUUCAAAAAAUAUCUCAAAAAACAGCUAAUCCAAACGGAGUAAUUGAUAAACCCUAAGACAUUUAGAUGGUGAAGAAAAAGUAAAAUUAACACCACUCUUUUAACUGUUGGAAUACUUUCAAGGUACUAAAUUAUACCUUCUUAGUACCACUCGAAAGAAAGAAAAACAAGCCUUGGAAAGAAAUAGUAUCUAGAAUAAAUCUACUGCACAAUUUGGGAAUUAUUCAUCAUUCGAUCAAGUGAUGAAUAAAUCAUACGCAAGUUCAUGUAUUAGCAGAUUAAUUAUUGAAUCUAUUCAUAAAUCAGAGGAUUGCGACACAAGGAAACUUGCAGAAUUGGACAACUAUAUGGUCCCGAAGAAAAGAAAUUGACUUGCUUCAAGAUUUCCACAAACUUGGAGCGGGGGGCGAGUGGUGACGGACGACUAAGGAACUCAAGAAAGUUAAAAUAGCCAAUUACGCAAAGUUUUGGAUCCAUUAGUUGAUUGACUGACUUCUAUUGCUAGCCGGUCAAUGCCCCCUUUUAUAAAUCAACAAGAACUUUUCCAUGGAAAAUGUGUCUCUCAUUUUGGCCAAAAUUUCCGAAUCAAUACCUUCAGUCUCCGGUCAAAUGAAGUCGUAACUUGAUAAGCUUACAAGACUUUCGUUUUCCUUCUAGAAAAAAAAAAAGAAUAAAAUAAUUCCCUUGCCCUUCAACAACCUCAACAAUAAGGUUCACUAUGAGAGAAAUUUUUUUUCCAUCUAACACACUUACGUUACUCCUAAUUCAUUGCAUAAAUACGUACAAUCACAGUUAUUGAACUUAGUAUAUUUUAGUAAUUUUUUAAAUUAAUUAUCUUAUUUUUAAAAAAUUAAUACCUGAGACUCUUAUUAACGAGUGUCGACUGAAUACCUGAUAUCAAACCGAUCGAUGCUGUAGAUAGAGAAUGGUUGUUUGCAUGGAAACCAAAUCUUUUUUUUUUUUUUUUUAUUUGCUCCUUCCCCUCUUAUACAACCACCAUAUGUAGAAAGUUGAGUUCUUGGAAUCCUCCAGUGACACAGGUAUGCUGGUAAGCAAAGCACUUGAAUAUCUUCCAGAAGAAAGAUAUGUCGCGCAGCCUUAAUUGACGAAGUAAUCUCGUCAACUUUUUUUUUAAAAAUUUUGUACUGUAUAGAAAUUCCCCGGAGUUGGAGGGGCAGUUGCUUCUAAUCAAAAUAUGCUUCACACUUCACGCCACACGCACACGGUUAGGACCAGAAGUCUCAUAUGCCCUUUUCGGUGCAUUUCGUCUAAAUUCUUUUGUAGCGUGAGAAUUUAUUUAUUUAUUUAUUUUUUAAAAAUGGCUACCUAUUUUUAUUGCUUAAUUAACGAUGCUUUCGGUGCGUUUGAGUUUUCAAGAAAAUGAAUUUGAAGAGUAACAAACAUUAAGAUUAUUUGAAAUAUAUUAUUUUUUUUAAAAAUACUGUAUGAGAUAAAAAGUUGAUGCACUGACAGUAUAUACACUUUUAUCAUUAUUAGAUGCAUGACACAUAAUUUGAAUUUAAAUUUGAAACUCAAAUUUUGCAUAUGUGUCGUAUAUCCAACCGUAAUAGUGUAUACAUCGUUAGUAUACAUAAGAUUUACUCUUUGAAGUUUUAAUCUAUCCUUUGGUUUCCCAUUCUCGUGACAAAAGCACAGCUGCGCGAAUCAGUAAAAUUGGACGUAGUAAUUUGCUGUAAUGUGCAAAACCGAACUUACCUCCAUUUAGGGUUCUUGUCUAUAGAUUGACCAUGUGGUUCGGCAACACUUUUAGUGCAAAAAUUUUCAGCAUGCAACAGUCGUCCAUAGCUUAAGUGAGUUAGGCGCAGCACAUUGUUUGGCCCCGUUCCAUAUGACUUCAUUUCGUUGCCAACUUUUCUUGGAGGACUGGAAUCUCAUUAAAUAGAUCCAGCACGAUUGGUCCACGACAAUUAUUUGGUUCUGCUUUGCUGUCGUGAACUUGUGCAUUGAUUCUGUGCUUUAAUUUCUCUUGAUUUGUAGAAAAUUUGCUAGUUUUUAACUGCAAGAUUUUGUUACUCCGAAGAUUUUUAAUUUUUAUGCAGGAAAAAAAAACGCACUUCCAAACUCUGGGUACAAUAUUUGAAAAAAAAAAAGGGUAGAUGACAGGUAAGCUAAGUAGUGGUUUAGUGCCACUAUUGAAAUGUAAAAACCUCCAACCCUACACUUUUCCGACCCAUGCACCGCUCCCCGUGCCCGAACCCAAGAAGAUUUGUACAAGAAAACAGAAAAACUUUGGUGGGGUCUUGCUCGCACUAAUUUGUCACGAUUAAAUGUAUUCUUGUUUAAAAAAUUCAUGCAGAUGUGUAGUGCAUUCGUCUGAUCUGGUGGUGAUUUAAUCCUCUUCGAAUUAUUCUUGAACCUCUUCAGGUCCUAUUCCUCCUCCAUACUAUAGGAAGUUAUCGUAUCGAAAAAAAAAAAACAGAAAAAUCUCAACUCAUUAGCCUUAUUUAAUUUGAUUUGAAGCAUAAUUUUCUUGAAGAAGAGGGGCCGGGCCACACUGAUUGUAUUAGAGCAUCCACAAUGCUAUUACACUUUGUGGAGUGUAAUCCACAUGCCACGUCAGCAUUCCACUUUCUCCUCUUUUAUUACACUUUCACUCACAAUGGAUUACACUCCACAAGGUGUAAUAGCAUGGGUCCACAAUUAAUCAAAUAUUUAUUUUAAUAAUGCAUAACUCAUAUCCCAUAAAUAAAUAAAGUAAUUUUUAAAACUAAUUUUGUUAUUUUUAAAAAAUAAAGUACUAACUUUCGUUAAAUUUUGUACAUUUUGAAUUUUUUUAUUUUCUAAAAAUGAUAUUAUUAAUUUUUAAGUUUGAAUAAUAUAUCUUUUUCUAUGUUUCAAAAAUAAUAUAUUGUUAUUUUUUAAAAAAUAAUUAUGUAGGAAAUUAAACAAAUAUUUGAUACUUCAAAUGCGAAGAUAUCAUAAUAAUUCAUACUUAAUUAAUAAUUCGGAAUGUAAUUAGUUGAACUCCAUAACAUAAUAUUACAUAAGUUAAAUCAAAUAAAAUACAAAUAAUAACAAAAUGAAUACUAAUUUUCAUUGUCAUUGCCUUCGAAUCGUUCCCAAAUAUGCUCGACCAAGUCUGAUCGAAGUUGAUCGAAGUCUGAUCCCAAAUAUGCUUUGUGCUGGAAUUUUAUCGUUGUCAUAGGGCCCACAUUCAAUGGAUUACACGCAUCAUACAUGUGAUGCGUGUAAUCUCCAUGACACGGCUCCAGCGGUGUAAUGGCUCCCCGUUACUGAUUACACCCCCAUUGGAGCUGCCCUUAUGUAUAGUAUAGCUCGUAAUGGUUUUAAUCUACUCAUAACAAAUUCACUCUCCCAAACUCAAAAGUCAUCUUUGUAUAUAGAAUUUAGCCAACGAUUAUAAUUGCACAUUUUAAUAGGAAGUUUCAUAGGCUGGCUGUCAAUUGCAACCUUACAAGAAAACGAGAUGAAGACCACUCAGAGUCACAAGUCCAACAAUAAAUCCACUAACUCUCAUUAAUUAAACCCCAUCCAUCAUUCAAUCCCAAAUAAACCAGCAAGAAAUCCGCAACUAUCCAUGGAAGCCUUGUGUCUCUACCUUCCACUUUUCCUAGCAUUAUACAUCUUCACCAAGCACUUCCUCAACAAAAUCCGAAACCUUCCACCUAGUCCCAUCCUUAAUCUCCCCGUCCUCGGCCACCUCCUCCUCAUCAAGAAGCCUCUUCACCGAGGCCUAGCCAAGAUUUCCAACCGUCAUGGC
rnacentral:lncRNA from 1 species